rnacentral:rRNA from 1 species
GACGAACGCUGGCGGCGUGCUUAACACAUGCAAGUCGAACGGAAAGGCCCUGCUUUUGUGGGGUGCUCGAGUGGCGAACGGGUGCGUAACACGUGAGUAACCUGCCCUUGACUUUGGGAUAACUUCAGGAAACUGGGGCUAAUACCGGAUAGGAGCUCCUGCUGCAUGGUGGGGGUUGGAAAGUUUCGGCGGUUGGGGAUGGACUCGCGGCUUAUCAGCUUGCUGGUGGGGUAGUGGCUUACCAAGGCUUUGACGGGUAGCCGGCCUGAGAGGGUGACCGGCCACAUUGGGACUGAGAUACGGCCCAGUCUCGUACAGGAGGCAGCAGUGGGGAAUAUGGCACAAUGAGCGGAAGCCUGAUGCAGCAGCGCCGCGGGCGGGAUGACGGCCUUCGGGUUGUAAACCGCUGUCGCCUGUGACGAAGCGUGUGUGACGGUAAUGAGUAAAGAAGCACCGGCUAACUACGUG